rnacentral:lncRNA from 1 species
AGGUUUUCGAUUUGCAAAUGAUCGUUAUCGGUGCGCAGGGUUAAUAAUUCCUGUGCGAGAUUGACGUAGAUGAUCACAAAGUUCGAAAUAGAGAAGAUCGAUGAAAAUAACAAUUUCGGUUUGUGGCGGAUUAAAGUCCAUGCAAUUCUGGUACUAUAAGAGUUGGAUGAUACGUUGAAUAGGAAAGAGUCGAAGCUGGCGGAGAUCACAAAUGUAGCAUGGGAGAAGAGGGAGAGGAAGGUAUAUGUAUGUGUGUAGUCGGCUACGUACUACACGAUUAUAAAUAGGAUCAACUUCAUACUCAUAAGUUGUUCUCGAUGAUAGAGCUUCUAAAUCGAUGAUCCAUAUCGUUAAAUAUAAUUUAGAGCAUGUAAACAUUCUGUAAACCAAAUUUCGUAAAUUUUUAACAUCAUAUAUCGUUGUCUGCCACCAUGAAUGAUGCACCUCGCACGGUCGAUGUGUAACAUACU